rnacentral:rRNA from 1 species
GAUGAACGCUAGCGGGAGGCCUAACACAUGCAAGCCGAGCGGUAGAGUUUCUUCGUAAACUUUAGAGCGGCGCCCGGGUGCGUAACACUUGUGCAACCUACCUUUAUCUGUGGGAUAGCCUUUCGAACGGAAGAUUAAUACCCCAUACUAUAAUUAUUUUCAUCCAUUAUUAUUGAUAACUCCGGUGGAUAGAGCUGGGCACGCUCAAGAUUUGCUCGUUGGUUAGGUAACGGCUCACCAAGUCAAUGUUCUUGAGGGGUCCUGAGAGGGAGAUCCCCCACAAUGGUACUGAGAUACGGACCAGACUGCUACGGGAGGCAGGAGUGAGGAAUAUUGGACGAUGGGUGAGAGCCUGAUCCAGCCAUCCCGCGUGAAGGAUGACGGUGCUAGGGAUUGUAAACUUCUUUUGUACAGGGAAAAACCUAGCAACGUGAGGGUAGCUGAAGGUACUGUACGAAUAAGCACCGGCUAACUACGUG